CACACAGAAGGUUGUAUCGCCUACAACCUAUCUAUUGGUGGAAUUACUCUGGAUCAGAAGCUUUGUACUGAAUGGAGGACUGUGCCUUGUGGGUACUCUGCUCGUAAAGGACCAAGACACAGGCAACAGAAGGUACACAGCAGCAAUGCAGCUUCUUCAGGAAAAUCAAUUCGGGAAGAAAUUCACUCUUGACAGAUCUUUGAAGCCUGGAGUUCUUGAUAAAAGAAAAUGUGCUAUUUCCUUCAGCCACACUGUCUGGAAGCCAAAGAGGGCAAGGCAGGCCAGGCCACCUGAGCCGCUCACCCUGGAGAUGAAGGCUCUGCUUACAAGACCAGUUAAUGAAUAGAACUCAAGUCCAUUGUGUAUGUCUUAAUUAGAUUCAGAAUAUCUGAAUUUACCAUUGUCAGCACGAGACAGCACUAAACAGCAGCUAGUGGCUCCAGCCAUUGAGGAUUAGAAGUGGAGGAUGCUGGCAAGUCCUUCAUGAGACUGCAAAAACUGCUAUGAACUGGUUGGAACACCUCUCCUAUGAAGAAAAACUGAGAAAGCUGAGACUGUUCAGCCUGGAGAAGGCUCAAGGGGAUCGCAUCAGUGUGCACAACUGCUUGAAGGGAGGAUGCAAAGAAGACAGAGCCAGGCUCUUUCCAGUGCUUCCCAGUGGCAGGACAAGAGGCAAUGGGCACAAACUGAAACACAAGGGGUUUCCUCUAAACAUCAGGAAGCACUUCUGUACUGUGCAGGUAAUGGAGCACUGGCACAGAUUGCCCAGAGAGGCUGUGGAGGCUCCUCCUUGGAGAUCUUCAAAAGCCGCCUGGAUGUGGGCCGGGACAAUCUGCUUGAGCAGGGAUUGGGCCAAAUGGACCCAGAGGUUCCCUUCAGCCUCAACCCUUCUGUGAUCUUGUGUUUACUUUCAUUAUUACUAGCUGACAAGUAGUGCUUCUAAAUGCCUUAAAAAGUUGAGGAAAUUUCACAAGAUUUUAUUUAUUUGUUUGUUUGUUUGUUUCUUUUGCUGUCUUUGCAUGGCAAAGACUUUCCUUUACUGGUAUUCUGACAAGAGAAAGUUCAGGCUCAAGCUGCUGGAUGUAUGUUUAUAUUGUCUUCUCAAUUUGUUUCCUGUGUUUAACUGUAGUGAGAGUUUUUUGAGGAUAGAGGGGUCUGAUCAUCACUUACUUUAAAUUGUAUAGUGCCAUUACUGCCCUAUAUCUGCUCCUAGAGUCUUAGUACUAAACUGAAAUGUACUUAUUUGCAGCCAUGCUAGAUUCCAUUGUCAUAUCUUAAUGUAGGAUAAUACUGUAAUUCAUUAAUAUUAUGUUCUUUAAUGAGGCCUGUGACUCUGUUUUUAUAUAGGAAUUUGCACUUGUGAUUUUCUUUGCUAAUUUAAGUACAUUGUCCACCAUCAACUUAAAAUCUAGUAUCAAUUUAAAAUUAGGAAAUGAUGAGUCCUGUGAGAAACAUCCCUUGCUUGUUAUUCUCUCAGGAUUACAGUGUGUGAGAAGUGUUCCAUGCUGCUUUUUAAUUCCUGUUUGUUAUUGAUUGUUUUUAGUUUGCAGUUUUACUUUUUGGUUCUCUGAAAAGUUCAAAGCUCGUAACUGGUAACAAAUGGGGCAAAACUAUUUAAACUUUCAUGUCAGAAAUUACACAAAAAGCCAAACGCAAGUGCUCUUAAAGUUUUGUUUACUUCUCAUGCCCCAUAUUAAUUGCACAGAUUCUCCUAUUGCCUCAUGAAGAACCGGAUCCUGGUUACAGCUGGGCAUUCAUUAGCAAGCAGAUCACACACACAGCUGUACAAUAUAUACAGACCUGAACUACAGUCUCCUCAACUGGUGAACACCCACCUCUGCCACUGAGCUCUGUGGAAAAUGAAAUCUAAAUUCAAGAUCAUAGAGGAACUUGAAGAAGGCAGAGACCAGUCAGGAAAGAUAAAAGCAACUGGAUUAUCGUAUUGGCAUUUUUUGGAACGUUGAUUUUGGCUGGUUAAUUUUCAGAUAAUUAAAGAUGUAGUCAGGUCUAGGGAUUUUAACAAGGCCAAGAAUUGGCCAAUGUUAGUGCCUUUCUCACAGCAUGAGUCCUUGGGCAUACCUCCUGUUGAUACAAACAAGCAAUUGAUCCUGAGCAACCAGAAACACUUAACAACUGAUAACAGUUGCUUAUCUGGUACUAUCAUCUGAGUUUCUCAGUUUCCAUUGCAAGCAAAUUUGGAGCUUUGUGGUACUGAUAGCAUUGUAGAACCGUUCUACAGCACGCCAUCCUUGCAGUAGAUUUGUUGAAAACCAUCUACCAGCUGAUAGGAAUCAACUGUUUGUUUUGAGAUUGUUUCAGGGAAGAAGUUUUUAUUAGCAAAACUGACUACAGCCAACCUCAUUUUCUCUCUCUGGCAGCUUGUUCCUAGCCACAACUUAGAGCUUGUCUUGGAAAUAUUAAUGCAGUUGAAUUUUGCAGUCGUGGCUGCAUAGUGAAACCAAGGAAAGAUCUCACUUCUGGUGCAGUCUUGUCAAUAUCUAACAGCUACAAUGAUCGUUUAUCAAUAAAAAGGAAAGUUUGAAAGAUGUGUGAUGUUAGAAGGUUAAUGAUGUGAGACUCAAGGAUGCAGACUGUAAUCUCGUUAGUAUGCUAUUAUGGCAAUACACAUUCAUAAUUCAGAGGUUUGAUAUACUUGGUGUUGAUUAAAAGAAUUAAUCCAGCCAGCUCACUGAGGGCAAUGUGCUAGCUGGCAGGCACUGGUAAACAACAAGGCAGAGCAGUGUAAUCACCUGUAAGGAUAAAUACAGGUGACGCAUUCACAAUAGUAGAAAGUAGAUGCCAGGCAGGCAGCAAACACUGCCAUUGCCUAUUUCUGGCCUGCUUGGACAAGCUGUGGGGAGGAGGAUCCACACUAGCAUUUGGAAGGGCAAAGAAAUCAAAGGACCAGGGACUCCCCAGUGAAGGAAGAGACAUUUCAACAGCAAAAGAAAAGAAAGGUUUGACAGGCAUGGAAAGUAUUGGUGAGAGAACCUUUAAUUGGAGGAGGGAAGGAAGAGUCAAAAGAAGCUGAAAGCUACAGCGUUAAAAUAAAGCAAGGCAAUCCAAACCAGAAAGAUGUGACACUGGGAGAAAGGUCUUUUCAUAGACCAGAGUAUAGAAAUGCUUAAUAUCAGUGAAGCCAAACAUUUAGUAUGUAUCAUCACGCGCAACGCUUAUGAAAAAAAAAAAAAACUUAAUUAACUUUCCUGUGUUCCAUUCUGGUUCUCUGUUUCUCCUUGUAAUCAAACACGGAUUAACUAAUGAAGAAUAUAUAGCCUGCAAGAUAUUUCUUCUGCAAACAAUACAUUCCAUUUUGAUUCAUUAAUGGCUUUUGGAUGUACUGAAGUUUAUCGGCAGAUUUACUUUUGGUCCCCAACACUGGCUUGCACUGUUGCAGGUAAAUUAUAUUCUAACAACAGACUUUUUUCAAAAAGAAAACUUUCGAGUGUGGGCAGCUGUACAAAAGCCCUUGUAUUUUAUUGUCAAACUAGACAUGGUAAGAACGUAACAGCAGUGAAAUAGAGGAUGUUAGCA
ensembl:lncRNA